UCCCUUUUUCCCCUAAUUCCCUUCUCUCCUUACACCAAAUCCCUCUUCAAUUUUGUAGGAAAUUCGCCGCUUUCUUCCAAUUUUUCUUCGCUGCGGUGAUUUCUAAAUGCUAUAAAGCCUUGUGGACUUUGCUCGUCUCCGAAGUUUGACAGAAGCAGCUAGACACGACAUGCUUUCUCUCUUGCAAUGGGUGAAAGAAGCUCAGAGAUCAGCAGAACAUCACAUUAGGGGCUUGCUAGCACUUUGAAUUUGUUGGAGGAGGCAAAGAAUGUUAUUGAUUCGAAUUCCAAAGGUGGACCAAUCUUAUAUGCAGAUCUCAUCCAGUUUGUUUGAAACAAAUUUGAUAGGCUAUUUGGGAGUUCAGAUGCCUGAUCCAGAGGGAAGGGUGCCUUGGGGCGAUAAAAGCAAGUGUGCAGGAAAUGAAAGACGAAUUUCAAAGGUGUCGGCUUGGUCACUCUCCAGGAUAAUGUGGGUGAUGCAAUUUUAAAUGGUGGCCACAAGUCAAUUCAAUCGAUUGAAGUUUAUCAUGAAGAUCUUUUUGAACAAUUACGUUCAAAUUUACUUGUGAUUUUGUGGAAUUCGCACAUCUUGAAAUAUUGUUUUAUUACUGUGUAGUAAGAUGUUGAUUUCUCAAAGUUUAAUGCAAAUAUGUAUAUUUUUAAA